rnacentral:rRNA from 1 species
AGAGUUUGAUCAUGGCUCAGAUUGAACGCUGGCGGCAGGCUUAACACAUGCAAGUCGAGCGGGGAAAGGUAGCUUGCUACCUGACCUAGCGGCGGACGGGUGAGUAAUGCUUAGGAAUCUGCCUAUUAGUGGGGGACAACAUUCCGAAAGGAAUGCUAAUACCGCAUACGCCCUACGGGGGAAAGCAGGGGAUCUUCGGACCUUGCGCUAAUAGAUGAGCCUAAGUCAGAUUAGCUAGUUGGUGGGGUAAAGGCCUACCAAGGCGACGAUCUGUAGCGGGUCUGAGAGGAUGAUCCGCCACACUGGGACUGAGACACGGCCCAGACUCCUACGGGAGGCAGCAGUGGGGAAUAUUGGACAAUGGGCGAAAGCCUGAUCCAGCCAUGCCGCGUGUGUGAAGAAGGCCUUUUGGUUGUAAAGCACUUUAAGCGAGGAGGAGGCUACUUAGAUUAAUACUCUAGGAUAGUGGACGUUACUCGCAGAAUAAGCACCGGCUAACUCUGUGCCAGCAGCCGCGGUAAUACAGAGGGUGCGAGCGUUAAUCGGAUUUACUGGGCGUAAAGCGUGCGUAGGCGGCUUCUUAAGUCGGAUGUGAAAUCCCUGAGCUUAACUUAGGAAUUGCAUUCGAUACUGGGAAGCUAGAGUAUGGGAGAGGAUGGUAGAAUUCCAGGUGUAGCGGUGAAAUGCGUAGAGAUCUGGAGGAAUACCGAUGGCGAAGGCAGCCAUCUGGCCUAAUACUGA